rnacentral:rRNA from 1 species
UAGCGUAGGGUGCGAGCGUUUGUCCGGAAUUAUUGGGGCGUAAAGAGCUCGUAGGCGGUUUGUUGCGUCUAAUCGUGAAAACCUGCAGCUUAACUGUGGGCUUGCGGUGGAUACGGGCAGACUUGAGGUUACGGUAGGGGAGACUGGAAUUCCUGGUGUAGCGGUGAAAUGCGCAGAUAUCAGGAGGAACACCGGUGGCGAAGGCGGGUCUCUGGGCCGAUACUGACGCUGAGGAGCGAAAGCGUGGGGGAGCGAACAGG